UAUGCGAUACCGUCAAAUAAGGCCGAUAUCGGCCCAAUACUGACACCUCUUAUUGACACUCGUCCCUCCCUAUUUGUAGAGUAGCCGUAAAGAAGUUGUAGCAGGAGUGACAGCUCGGCAGUAGGCCAGGUGGAGCACAAUUAUCGGCCAAUCGGAGCUGAGAAGACGGGUCACCUGUAGGUGUUGUCUCCAAACUCUUGUUUGAGUGAAUUGAUGAUGAUUUUCUCCACCCUCUCAUCUGUCUUGGUGACCAGGUCCACUGUGGAGCUCUUUGUCGACACCUUGAUUUCGCUCUCGCCGGCUUUCCGAAUUUCCUG